rnacentral:rRNA from 1 species
GGGUUGUAAAGCUCUUUCACCGGAGAAGAUAAUGACGGUAUCCGGAGAAGAAGCCCCGGCUAACUUCGUGCCAGCAGCCGCGGUAAUACGAAGGGGGCUAGCGUUGUUUGGAAUUAAUGGGCGUAAAGCGCACGUAGGCGGAUAUUUAAGUCAGGGGUGAAAUCCCAGAGCUCAACUCUGGAACUGCCUUUGAUACUGGGUAUCUUGAGUAUGGAAGAGGUAAGUGGAAUUCCGAGUGUAGAGGUGAAAUUUGUAGAUAUUUGGAGGAACACCAGUGGGGAAGGCGGCUUACUGGUCCAUUACUGACGCUGAGGUGGGAAAGCGUGGGGAGCAAACAGGAUUAGAUACCCUGGUAGUCCACGCCGUAAACGAUGAAUGUUAGCCGUCGGGCAGUAUACUGUUCGGUGGCGCAGGUAACGCAUUAAACAUUCCGCCUGGGGAGUACGGUCGCAAGAUUAAAACUCAAAGGAAUUGACGGGGGCCCGCCCAAGCGGUGGAGCAUGUGGUUUAAUUUGAAGCAACGCGCAGAACCUUACCAGCUCUUGACAUUCGGSGUAUGGGCAUUGGAGACGAUGUCCUUCAGUUAGGCUGGCCCCAGAACAGGUGCUGCAUGGCUGUUGUCAGCUCGUGUCGUGAGAUGUUGGGUUAAGUCCCGCAACGAGCGCAACCCUCGCCCUUAGUUGCCAGCAUUUAGUUGGGCACUCUAAGGGGACUGCCGGUGAUAAGCCGAGAGGAAGGUGGGGAUGACGUCAAGUCYUCAUGGCCCUUACGGGCUGGGCUACACACGUGYUACAAUGGUGGUGACAGUGGGCAGCGAGACAGCGAUGUCGAGSUAAUCUCCAAAAGCCAUCUCAGUUCGGAUUGCACUCUGCAACUCGAGUGCAUGAAGUUGGAAUCGCUWGUAAUYGCAGAUCAGCAUGCUGCGGUGAAUACGUUCCCGGGCCUUGUACACACCGCCCGUCACACCAUGGGAGUUGGUUUUACCCGAAGGUAGUGCGCUAACCGCAAGGAGGCAGCUAACCACGGUAGGGUCAACGACUGGGGUGAAGUCAU